AAGUCGUAACAAGGUUUCCGUAGGUGAACCUGCGGAAGGAUCAUUAUUUGAAAUAAACCUGAUGGGUUGUUGCUGUUCUCUAGGGAGCAUGUGCACGCCUUGUCAUCUUUAUAUUCCCCUGUGCACUUUUUGUAAACCUUUAGGUCUAUGUUGCUUCAUUUACCCCAAUGUAUGUUAAUAGAAUGUUGUGCCUAUAAAUAUAUCAA
rnacentral:misc_RNA from 1 species